rnacentral:rRNA from 1 species
UACAGAGGGUGCAAGCGUUACUCGGAAUUACUGGGCGUAAAGCGCGCGUAGGCGGCCUUGUAUGUCGAUUGUGAAAGCCCCGGGCUCAACCCUGGGAACUGCAGUCGGAAACUGCAAGGCUUGAAUGUUGGAGAGGUUGGGGGAAUACCUAGUGGAGAAGGUGAAAUUCGUAGAGAUUAGGUGGAACACCAGAGGCGAAGGCGCCUGACUGGCCAAACUUGACGCUGAGGCGCGAAGCGUGGGUAGCAAACAGG